AUUGAACGCUGGCGGCGGGCCUAACACAUGCAAGUCGAGCGAGCGGCGGACGGGUGAGUACUGUCUGGGAAACUGCCUGAUGGAGGGGGAUAACUACUGGAAACGGUAGCUAAUACCGCAUACCAUCAGAUGUGCCCAGAUGGGAUUAGCUAGUAGGUGGGGUAACGGCUCACCUAGGCGACGAUCCCUAGCUGGUCUGAGAGGAUGACAAGCCACGAUGGGACUGAGACACGGUCCAGACUCCUACGGGAGGCAGAAGUGGGGAAUAUUGCACAAUGGGGGCAAGCCUGAUGCAGCCAUGCCGCGUGUGUGAAGAAGGCCUUCGGGUUGUAAAGCACUUUCAGCGGGGAGGCGUUACCCGCAGAAGAAGCACCGGCUAACUCCGUGCCAGCAGCCGCGGUAAUUC
rnacentral:rRNA from 1 species